rnacentral:misc_RNA from 1 species
ACCCUUGUGGAGGAGGACGCCGAAGGUGGGGCUAAUGACUGGGGUGAAGUCGUAACAAGGUAGCCGUACCGGAAGGUGCGGCUGGAUCACCUCCUAACAGGGAGACAACAAAAUGUUUAAUAUUAUUAUUUUGUCACCUUAGGUCGAUCGGUAUCUCACGUUUUUAAUUUAUUAAGAAUUUCAUUUCCUAAGUUUUUCUAGGUCACACCCAUUAUUUUUCCUGGGCCAUUAGCUCAGGUGGUUAGAGCGCACCCCUGAUAAGGGUGAGGUCCCUGGUUCAAGUCCAGGAUGGCCCAUAUCUCUAUGUUGGGGGUAUAGCUCAGUUGGUAGAGCGCCUGCUUUGCAAGCAGGAUGUCAGCGGUUCGAGUCCGCUUACCUCCACUGAUUACCACCUCUUCCAUAAUAUGUAGAAAGGAAAAUUUUUUAGUUGUGACCAUAUUUCUGAGCGAAUCUAGCUUCCUAAUGAAAUCAUUAAGAUGCUGGACUCAUUGAUUAAUUUCAUUGUUUUCAGAGAACCUUGACAACUGCAUAGAUUAUUUUAAAGACAAAAAGCAUCUUUAAUGAUGCAGAUUUAUUAUUUGUGCGAAUGCAUUAAUAACAAUUCUAUUAAGCUGAUGCUUCAAUUUUGAAGUUAUUGGUCAAGCUACAAAGGGCUCACGGAGGAUACCUAGGCACACAGAG